UCUGUGUGAGUUCAGGAAUGUUGGUCCCGGUCCAGAGUUUGGUUAAUGGCCACAAAGUAAAAGCAGCAGAAGAACUGAUGUUUGGCUCAGGAACAGCAAAAACCAGGUGCUUUUCAUGUAGAGACGCCACACCCCAACCACACGCGGUAAAACACAAAACAAGUAAACCACAGAUGUGGUGCAGUCAAAAGGAAAAUCAAAUCAACAUGCAGUAACAUGAGAUCGCAUUUGGAGUGCAAGUGAAAGAAUGUUUGCCGAUACAGUGUGCCUGGUGGGGGUAACUACUGUUUCAAGUAAACCCUUGCUGGCUGUGCUCUGUUCAAACCUCGCUUUGUUUACCAGACAGCAGAAGAGACAGUGGGACGUCUGCCCAAAUCUGUCACUCUGACCUGAGUUUCUGCAGCAGUGCUGGGUUUAUGAAGGGAUGCUUUGUUCUCUUCACCCCAGAAUAACUGUUAUCAAGAGGCUCAGCAUGGAGUUCGUCUGCUGUUGCCUCAGCUGAGAGAGCUGGAGCAGCAUCUAUGGCCCGCCUGGCUCACACAGAUGACAACAAGGAAGAAGUAGGCGCUCCCUCGUGGCAGCACCCCCUUCCCUCGUCCGGGGAAAGCAUGGAGCUCUCCCUCCUGGAGCGCUGGCCCCCAGUCACGGCGAGCAGGCGUGGGACGUAGGGCUAUCAGCGGGACUGGGAAAUGGCACUCGAGGAGGAGUCCCGCGGCGAGGGAGCAAUGAGAAACUUUAGUGUCACGUGUUUUAAAAACACCUGUUUAGACCUUUUAGAUUAAUUAUCGGGUAUAUCUGUUCAAGAAAAUGUCUCAUAUUCACAACCUUAGUUCAAAGUGUCACUCCGAUGACCCAGCAUUCUAGCAGCACUUAAACGCAUCACUCACACAUGAAUCUUGGAGACGUGUAAAGAGUCUCAAAUCAGAUUUGUAUGCAAAUGUGGUUUUGUGUGAGCGAAACAAGCGUUCGUCUGUUCUUUGUAAAGGUUUGUAUUUGUAGUAAGUUUUAAGCUGCUGUACUUUCAUGUUGUCCAUGUGUAAAUUAUUUUUUUGUAUUUUCAAAUAUUUGUACGUUAAUACACAAUUAAAAAGAACACACAGUUACGCAAAAAA